rnacentral:rRNA from 1 species
UAGGGAAUCUUCCGCAAUGGGCGAAAGCCUGACGGAGCAACGCCGCGUGAGUGAUGAAGGUCUUCGGAUCGUAAAACUCUGUUAUUAGGGAAGAACAAAUGUGUAAGUAACUAUGCACGUCUUGACGGUACCUAAUCAGAAUGCCACGGCUUACUACGUACCAGCAGCUGCGGUAAUACGUAGGUGGCUAGCGUUAUCCGGAAUUGUUGGGCGUAAAGCGCGCGUAGGCGGUUUUUUAAGACUGAUGUGAAAGUCCACGGCUCAACCGUAGAGGGUAGUUGGAAACUGGGACACUAGAGUGCAGAAGAGGAAAGUGAAAUUCCAUGUGUAGCGGUGAAAUGCGCAGAGAUAUGGAGGAACACCAGUGACGAAGACGACUUUCUGGUGUGUAACUGACGCUGUUGUGCGAAAGCGUGGGGAUCAAACAGG